CUGUAAGCAUGUACAAGAUCUGCUCAUUUUUCAAGACUAUUUUCAAUUUUCGAAAUCAGCUAUCAAAAUUAGAUCUCGUCAACUUACCAUUGUUCAAUAGUGAUCGAAGCGACAAGGUGGUGGCUAUAAAUACAUAAAAGAAAAUCUAAAAAUCUAAUUGGUAUAUGAAUUAUUAAACCUAAAUAUUUGAACUUUAGUCUAAAGAUUCUUCCAUUAUUUUAUAUGAAUUGAUAGUCUUUACCUCUAAUUCGAAGAAUUACCUUAAUUCUUUAGUAGAUACUAGAAUCCACA
rnacentral:lncRNA from 1 species